rnacentral:rRNA from 1 species
UACAGAGGGUGCGAGCGUUGUCCGGAUUUACUGGGCGUAAAGGGCGCGUAGGCGGUCAGCACAAGUCAGUUGUGAAAUCUCCGGGCUUAACUCGGAAAGGUCAACUGAUACUGUGCGACUAGAGUGCAGAAGGGGCAACUGGAAUUCUCGGUGUAGCGGUGAAAUGCGUAGAUAUCGAGAGGAACACCUGCGGCGAAGGCGGGUUGCUGGGCUGACACUGACGCUGAUGCGCGAAAGCCAGGGGAGCGAACGGG